GACAGAGGUUGCAAACGUUGUUCGGAAUUACUGGGCAUAAAGCGCACGUAGGCGGUCCGUUAAGUCAUGUGUGAAAUCCCCCGGCUCAACCGCGGGCCUGCAGCCGAUACGGGCAGGCUAGAGUUCGGUAGGGGAGACUGGAAUUCCUGGUGUAGCGGUGAAAUGCGCAGAUAUCAGGAGGAACACCGGUGGCGAAGGCGGAUCUCUGGGCCUUGCCUGACGCUGAGGCGCGAAAGCUAGGGGAGCGAACAGG
rnacentral:rRNA from 1 species